UCGUAACCGAAGUGUGAAUAAGCUAUUCCGAGAGUAUUCUUGGUAGAGCAAUUUGUAUUUCAAGUUAUGAUUAAUUAGAUUUUGACUAAAUUAAGUGAAGGAAUGUUAAUCAUGGAAUAUUAUCGUGCAAUGUAAUUAUUUUGGAAGUUCAACUUGAUAUCAGGUAUUGUGGAUAUUACUUCUAGUUUGAAGUUAAUUAUUUGGUGGCAAGUUAAGUUUCGUUCAUAGGAAGUUGUCUAAUGCUUGAACUAGGAGAGAUUUUAUGAUAUUCUUCGAGGUUAAAAUAUGUAGUCGGAUCAAACAUGAAAUUGUUAUAUAUAAGUAAAAUAUAUUUAAGGAUGAGACUCAAGAGUUCUUCUUUGGCUCUACUUGGGACUUGAAAUUUUAUAUCUUUUCGUUUUACAAUUAAGAUUGGUAUUUUGAUGGGAAGUCAAUUAGUACGUCUUGAGAAUAUUAGAGUAUUAAAAUAUUUUUGGGUUGGUCGAAAAUAGGUCCUCUUUGAUUUGGAAAAGUUCUUGAUGGUUUUUCUUGUUAAUGAAAAAUUUCGUU
rnacentral:lncRNA from 1 species